rnacentral:rRNA from 1 species
UACGGGGGGGGCAAGCGUUUGUUCGGAAUUACUGGGCGUAAAGGGCUCGUAGGCGGCCAACUAAGUCAGACGUGAAAUCCCCAGGCUUAACCUGGGAACUGCGUCUGAUACUGGAUGGCUUGAAUCCGGGAGAGGGAUGCAGAAUUCCAGGUGUAGCGGUGAAAUGCGUAGAUAUUCGGAAGAACACCAGUGGCGAAGGCGGCUCACUGGACUGGUAUUGACGCUGAGGUGCGAAAGCGUGGGGAGCAAACAGG